GUGGCUGUGGCUCAGUGGUAGAGCACUCACCUGGCACAUGUGUGGCACUGGGUUUGAGUCUCAGCACCACG
rnacentral:tRNA from 1 species